GAUGAACGCUAGCUACAGGCUUAACACAUGCAAGUCGAGGGGCAUCAGGAAGAAAGCUUGCUUUCUUUGCUGGCGACCGGCGCACGGGUGAGUAACACGUAUCCAACCUGCCCUUUACUCGGGGAUAGCCUUUCGAAAAAAAGAUUAAUACCCGAUAGUAUAAUGAUUCCGCAUGGUUUCCUUAUUAAAGGAUUCCGGUAAAGGAUGGGGAUGCGUUCCAUUAGGUUGUUGGUGAGGUAACGGCCCACCAAGCCUUCGAUGGAUAGGGGUUCUGAGAGGAAGGUCCCCCACAUUGGAACUGAGACACGGUCCAAACUCCUACGGGAGGCAGCAGUGAGGAAUAUUGGUCAAUGGGCGCUAGCCUGAACCAGCCAAGUAGCGUGAAGGAUGAAGGCUCUAUGGGUCGUAAACUUCUUUUAUAUAAGAAUAAAGUGCAGUAUGUAUACUGUUUUGUAUGUAUUAUAUGAAUAAGGAUCGGCUAACUCCGUGCCAGCAGCCGCGGUAAUACGGAGGAUCCGAGCGUUAUCCGGAUUUAUUGGGUUUAAAGGGAGCGUAGGUGGACUGGUAAGUCAGUUGUGAAAGUUUGCGGCUCAACCGUAAAAUUGCAGUUGAUACUGUCAGUCUUGAGUACAGUAGAGGUGGGCGGAAUUCGUGGUGUAGCGGUGAAAUGCUUAGAUAUCACGAAGAACUCCGAUUGCGAAGGCAGCUCACUGGACUGCAACUGACACUGAUG
rnacentral:rRNA from 1 species